CACGGGGGGGAGCAAGCGUUGUUCGGAAUCACUGGGCGUAAAGGGCGCGUAGGCGGCCUACUAAGUCAGACGUGAAAUCCCCCGGCUUAACCUGGGAACUGCGUCUGAUACUGGAAGGCUUGAGUAUGGGAGAGGGAUGUAGAAUUCCAGGUGUAGCGGUGAAAUGCGUAGAUAUCUGGAGGAAUACCGGUGGCGAAGGCGGCAUCCUGGACCAUUACUGACGCUGAGGCGCGAAAGCUAGGGGAGCAAACGGG
rnacentral:rRNA from 1 species